rnacentral:rRNA from 1 species
AUGCAAGCCGAACGGCAAGCUUUGUAGCAAUACAGAGCCUAGAGUGGCGUAAGGGUGCGUAACACGUAUGCAAUCUGCCCACAACAGGAGGAUAGCUCCCCGAAAGGGGAAUUAACCCUCCAUAGCACUAUACGAGGGCAUCUGAGUAUGGUUAAACCAAAAGGGGUUGUGGAUGAGCAUGCGGUUGAUUAGCUAGUUGGCGGGGUAACGGCCCACCAAGGCGAUGAUCAAUAGGGGAACUGAGAGGUUUAUCCCCCACACUGGCACUGAGAUACGGGCCAGACUCCUACGGGAGGCAGCAGUAGGGAAUAUUGGACAAUGGGCGAGAGCCUGAUCCAGCCAUGCCGCGUGCAGGAAGAAGGCCUUCUGGGUUGUAAACUGCUUUUGCCAGGGGAUAAAAGACCCGUGCGCGGGGAAUUGAAGGUACCUGGUGAAUAAGCCACGGCUAACUACGUGCCAGCAGCCGCGGUAAUACGUAGGUGGCAAGCGUUGUCCGGAUUUAUUGGGUUUAAAGGGUGCGUAGGCGGUUCUAUAAGUCAGUGGUGAAAUACGGCAGCUCAACUGUCGAGGUGCCAUUGAUACUGCAGAACUUGAGUACAGACGAGGUAGGCGGAAUUGACGGUGUAGCGGUGAAAUGCUUAGAUAUCGUCA